rnacentral:rRNA from 1 species
ACAGCAGUAGCCGCGGGAAUACGUAGGAUGCGAGCGUUAAUCGGAAUUACUGGGCGUAAAGCGUGCGCAGGCGGUUAUAUAAGACAGAUGUGAAAUCCCCGGGCUCAACCUGGGACCUGCAUUUGUGACUGUAUAGCUAGAGUACGGUAGAGGGGGAUGGAAUUCCGCGUGUAGCAGUGAAAUGCGUAGAUAUGCGGAGGAACACCGAUGGCGAAGGCAAUCCCCUGGACCUGUACUGACGCUCAUGCACGAAAGCGUGUGGAGCAAACAGGAUUAGAUACCCCAGUAGUCCCUGUCUCUUAUAC